AUUGAACGCUGGCGGCAUGCCUUACACACGCAAGUCGAACGGUAACAGGUCUUCGGAUGCUGACGAGUGGCGAACGGGUGAGUAAUACAUCGGAACGUGCCUAGUAGUGGGGGAUAACUACUCGAAAGAGUGGCUAAUACCGCAUGAGAUCUACGGAUGGAAGCAGGGGAUCGCAAGACCUUGUGCUACUAGAGCGGCCGAUGGCAGAUUAGGUAGUUGGUGGGAUAAAAGCUUACCAAGCCGACGAUCUGUAGCUGGUCUGAGAGGACGAUCAGCCACACUGGGAGUGAGACACGGCCCAGACUCUUACGGGAGGCAGCAGUGGGGAAUUUUGGACAAUGGGCGCAAGCCUGAUCCAGCAAUGCCGCGUGCAGGAUGAAGGCCUUCGGGUUGUAAACUGCUUUUGUACGGAACGAAAAGCCCUGGGUUAAUACCCUGGGGUCAUGACGGUACCGUAAGAAUAAGCACCGGCUAACUACGUGCCAGCAGCCGCCGUAACAC
rnacentral:rRNA from 1 species